GUCAUUCGCUAACUCAGAGUUGCUUCCUUAAGACCCAGCAAGUCAUAAGUGAGGUCAUGAUAGAGACAUAAUUUCCAAUCCAUUAUGUCUGUCGUUCUCCAUUUUCUCAGGCCAAAAAAUGGUGGGAGGUACUGUGUAGGGAGGAGAAUGAAGUUCAAAUCCUGCAACACCGAGCCCUGCCCGAAGCACAAGCGAGACUUCCGUGAGGAGCAGUGUGCUUACUUUGACGGCAAGCACUUCAACAUCAAUGGUCUGCUGCCCAGUGUACGCUGGGUCCCUAAGUACAGUGGAAGUAAGUGUACUAGGGGUUGGAGCAUGUGGCUGACAGGCCGGCAUUCAGUCCAGGCAUGGAAGUCACAUUGCAUCACGAUCUUCCUCUCUAGUUUUGAUGAAGGACCGAUGCAAGUUGUUCUGCAGAGUGGCAGGAAACACAGCCUACUACCAGCUUCGAGACAGAGUGAUUGACGGAACCCCCUGUGGCCAGGACACAAAUGACAUCUGUGUCCAAGGCCUUUGCCGGGUGAG
rnacentral:lncRNA from 1 species